AACGAACGCUGGCGGCAGGCCUAACACAUGCAAGUCGAACGUGAAGCCACCUUCGGGUGGUGGAAAGUGGCAGACGGGUGAGUAACGCGUGGGAACGUGCCUUUCGGUUCGGAAUAACCCAGGGAAACUUGGGCUAAUGCCGGAUACGCCCUCCGGGGGAAAGAUUUAUCGCCGAAAGAUCGGCCCGCGUCGGAUUAGCUUGUUGGUGGGUAAAAGCCUACCAAGGCGACGAUCCGUAGCUGGUCUGAGAGGAUGAUCAGCCACACUGGGACUGAGACACGGCCCAGACUCCUACGGGAGGCAGCAGUGGGGAAUAUUGGGACAAUGGGCGCAAGCCUGAUCCAGCAAUGCCGCGUGUGUGAAGAAGGCCUUCGGGUUGUAAAACACUUUCACUCGCGAAGAUGAUGACGGUAGCGAGAGAAGAAGCCCCGGCUAACUCCGUG
rnacentral:rRNA from 1 species